rnacentral:rRNA from 1 species
GUGGGGGACCGCAAGGCCUCACGUUUUCGGAGCGGCCGAUAUCGGAUUAGCUAGUUGGUGGGGUAAAGGCUUACCAAGGCGACGAUCCGUAGCUGGUCUGAGAGGACGACCAGCCACACUGGGACUGAAACACGGCCCAGACUCCUACGGGAGGCAGCAGUGGGGAACUUUGGACAAUGGGGGCAACCCUGAUCCAGCCAUGCCGCGUGAGUGAAGAAGGCCUUCGGGUUGUAAAGCUCUUUCGGACGGAAAGAAACGGUCACGGUUAACACCCGUGACUAAUGACGGUACCGUAAGAAGAAGCACCGGCUAACUACGUGCCAGCAGCCGCGGUAAUACGUAGGGUGCGAGCGUUAAUCGGAAUUACUGGGCGUAAAGCGUGCGCAGGCGGUUUCGUAAGACAGACGUGAAAUCCCCGGGCUUAACCUGGGAACUGCGUUUGUGACUGCGAGACUGGAGUGUAGCAGAGGGGGGUAGAAUUCCACGUGUAGCAGUGAAAUGCGUAGAGAUGUGGAGGAAUACCGAUGGCGAAGGCAGCCCCCUGGGCUAACACUGACGCUCAUGCACGAAAGCGUGGGGAGCAAACAGGAUUAGAUACCCUGGUAGUCCACGCCCUAAACGAUGUCAACUAGGUGUUGGGGAAGGAGACUUCUUUAGUACCGCAGCUAACGCGUGAAGU